rnacentral:rRNA from 1 species
AGAGUUUGAUCCUGGCUCAGGAUGAACGCUGGCGGCGUGCUUAACACAUGCAAGUCGAACGGAGAUAGCGGAGAGCUUGCUCUCUCUAUCUUAGUGGCGGACGGGUGAGUAACGCGUGGGUAACCUACCCUGUACAGGGGGGAUAGCAGCUGGAAACGGCUGAUAAAACCGCAUAAAACGGCAGUACCGCAUGGUACAACCGUCAAAUAUUCAUAGGUACAGGAUGGGCCCGCGUCUGAUUAGCCAGUUGGUGGGGUAACGGCCUACCAAAGCGACGAUCAGUAGCCGGCCUGAGAGGGUGAACGGCCACAUUGGGACUGAGACACGGCCCAAACUCCUACGGGAGGCAGCAGUGGGGAAUAUUGGACAAUGGGGGAAACCCUGAUCCAGCGACGCCGCCGUGAGUGAAGAAGUAUCUCGGUAUGUAAAGCUCUAUCAGCAGGGAAGAUGAUGACGGUACCUGACUAAGAAGCACCGGCUAAAUACGUGCCAGCAGCCGC